UACGUAGGGGGCGAGCGUUGUCCGGAAUCAUUGGGCGUAAAGCGCGUGUAGGCGGCCCGGUAAGUCCGCUGUGAAAGUCCAGGGCUCAACCCUGGGAUGCCGGUGGAUACUGUCGGGCUCGAGUCCGGAAGAGGCGAGUGGAAUUCCUGGUGUAGCGGUGAAAUGCGCAGAUAUCGGGAAGAACACCCGUGGCGAAGGCGGUUCUACUGGGACGGUACUGACGCUGAGGAGCGAAAGCGUGGGGAGCAAACAGG
rnacentral:rRNA from 1 species